AUACUGGUUGAUUCUGCCAGAGGCUACUGCCAUCAGAGUUCGAUUAAGCCAUGUUAGUUAAGGGGACUUUCCUUCGGGAAGGUAACCCGGCAGACGGCUCAGUAACACGUGGACAAUUUACCCUUGGGACCGGGAUAACCCCUGGGAAACUGGGGCUAAUACUGGAUAGAGCAUCGGCUGCUGGAAUGCGCGAUGUUCGAAAGCUGAGGCGCCCAAGGAUAGGUCUGCGGCUGAUUAGGUUGUUGUUGAUGUAACGGAUCAACAAGCCCGCGAUCGGUACGGGUUGUGAGAGCAAUAGCCCGGAGAUGGGUUCUGAGAAAAGAACCCAGGUCCUACGGGACGCAUCAGGCGCGAAAACUUUACAAUGUGCGAAAGCGCGAUAAGGGAACUCUGAGUGCCUCCUAAGGAGGCUGUUCAGGUGUCUAAAAAGCAUCUGGAGUAAGGGCUGGGCAAGACCGGUGCCAGCCGCCGCGGUAACACCGGCAGCUCAAGUGGUAGCCAUGCUUAUUGGGUCUAAAGCGUCCGUAGCCGGCUGAGUAAGUUCCUUGGGAAAUUUGACCGCUUAACGGUUAAGCUAUCAGGGAAUACUGCUUGGCUUGGGACCGGGAGAGGUCAGAGGUACUCCAGGGGUAGGGGUGAAAUCUAUUAAUCCUUGGGGGACCACCGGUAGCGAAGGCGUCUGACCAGACCGGGUCCGACGGUGAGGGACGAAGGCUGGGGUCGCGAACCGGAUUAGAUACCCGGGUAGUCCCAGCUGUAAACGAUGCGGGCCAGGUGUUGGCAUUACUGCGAGUGAUGUCAGUGCCAAAGGGAAGCCGUUAAGCCCGCCAUCUGGGGAGUACGGUCGCAAGGCUGAAACUUAAAGGAAUUGGCGGGGGAGCAC
rnacentral:rRNA from 1 species